CGUGGUAAAAAUGCUGCAAAGAUGCGGUCUUGCAUCGUUUUAAAAAGGAGAUAAGAUAGGGCAUGCACAGAAGACAUCUGAGAGAGAAGGGUGGCGUGAGAGAGCUUUCCUGCAUGAAAAAAGAAAAGAAAAGGAGAGAAAAGAAAGAAACAAGUGGGCGCAAGUUUCUUCGGAGUGUACCCUAGGGUUUUGGCUUAGGGNN
rnacentral:lncRNA from 1 species